rnacentral:rRNA from 1 species
GACGAACCACACAAACGUUAUUCGGAAUUACUGGGCUUAAAGGGUGCGUAGGCGGCGCGGAAAGUUGGGUGUGAAAUCCCUCGGCUCAACCGAGGAACUGCGCCCAAAACUACCGUGCUCGAGGGAGAUAGAGGUGAGCGGAACUUAGGGUGGAGCGGUGAAAUGCGUUGAUAUCCUAAGGAACACCCGUGGCGAAAGCGGCUCACUGGCCCGAUACUGACGCUGAGGCACGAAAGCGUGGGGAGCAAACAGGG